UACGGAGGAUGCAAGCGUUAUCCGGAUUUAUUGGGCUUAAAGGGUGCGUAGGCGGCCUAUUAAGUCAGGGGUGAAAGACGGUAGCUUAACUAUCGCAGUGCCUUUGAUACUGAUAGGCUUGAAUAUACAUGAGGUAGGCGGAAUGUGACAAGUAGCGGUGAAAUGCAUAGAUAUGUCACAGAACACCAAUUGCGAAGGCAGCUUACUAAAGUAUGAUUGACGCUGAGGCACGAAAGCGUGGGGAUCAACCAGG
rnacentral:rRNA from 1 species